GACCCUUUGGAACAUCAACAGCAUCACUGGCAAUUGUGGGAAGAAGGGAUAAUGUGACACUCUGCAUUUUUCAUCCUAAAUUAGACAAGUGUUAUAUCUCUGAUACAUGCAAGCCUGCUGACCGGACUGAUAUCAAUCAUAAUGCUGCAGACACUUUUGUGGACGAGAUCUUCAGGGAGGAGGUAGAGAGAGAACAAGACUCAGACUGAACUUCUGCAUCUAGAACAGGCAUGAUUUAUGUGAUAUGAAAAGCCACGUGAAUAAAACUAUCCAAAUGGGUAUAAAAGAAUUCAGAUCCAAAACAAUAUUUUGUGACAGAAUGGAUGUGGAGAGCAGAGCAUGAAGUUGAAGAAAUCUAAUAUAUGGAUACGCCAAAGGAAAUGUCAAGAUCCGAUUAAGGAGCAGUUGGAAAUGGUGAUUCACCUUUGUGGAGCAAAUCUAUCAAUAAAACAGCACAAUUAAAGCAGCCCAGAGCACUUCACUAGAAAUGAACCAUGACUGAAACCAGCUCCCCAGAGUGAUGCUGCAGUUCACAAAUGUGUUCGUGUUAUGAUGGUUGUGGGGAAUAGUCCAGGAAUCUCUUAAGAAAAGAAGAAAAGCACGUUUAUAAGACAAAAAAACACAUUCCUCAUCAGAAUGUGAUAUCAGCAGAUUCGGCAACAACGAGUGAGGAUUUUUGGAGAGCUGUUGCUUCGAUAGUGUUUCUAUGGCUUGAAUAUUGUAGCUGCUAACUCAAGGUCUUAGUGGCCCUGGCAUCAACUCCAAAACUGUGAUUUAUCUGGCUGGCUCUGCUGAGGCAGAAAACACCUGCUCUGCUCCUGAGUGCUGCAGCCUUCUUGCCUGUCUGGAAGAAAAACUGCCGCUGAAAUCCAGUGCUCUAAAAUUGCAUUGCAACCCAUUUGCUGUGCCAAGAGCUUUGAACAUAAAUAAUUCUUUGUAAUUAAGCACUGUAUUUCACUAUCCUAAGAGUCCUUAAAUCAGCACAGAUUUCUUCUAGGUUGAAUGCAAGACAAUUGCAAUCGUUUCUUCUUCUCCAGAUACGGAACUAUGAAACAGCUUGUUAACCUUUUUUUCAACCUGGGGAAAUAAAAUAUAUGUAUGUAUAUAUAUGCAUUACAUUACAGCAUACCUUGUCUCAGAAAGCUAGCGUGACAUUACACCCCAGCUAAAAAAAGUAGAGGUAAUUUUAAAUAAAUGGUCAUUGUAAGUUAAA